AAUCUGUGGUGUGGUCAUUUUUGAAUCAGUGUCUUAAAACGCUCCCAUGCUUCAUGAAAAAUUUUCCUCUCUGAUUGUUUAAACAUCGAAAUUUCCCUUCUUAGCU
rfam:Gossypium hirsutum cultivar TM-1 chromosome 10, whole genome shotgun sequence